rnacentral:rRNA from 1 species
GACGAACGCUGGCGGCGUGCUUAACACAUGCAAGUCGAGCGGUAAGGCCCCUUCGGGGGUACACGAGCGGCGAACGGGUGAGUAACACGUGAGCAACCUACCCUCAACUUUGGGAUAAGCCUCGGAAACGGGGUCUAAUACCGGAUAUCAUCUCCUGCUUCAUGGUGGGGGGUUGAAAGUUCUGGCGGUUGGGGAUGGGCUCGCGGCCUAUCAGCUUGUUGGUGGGGUAAUGGCCUACCAAGGCGUCGACGGGUAGCCGGCCUGAGAGGGCGACCGGCCACACUGGGACUGAGACACGGCCCAGACUCCUACGGGAGGCAGCAGUGGGGAAUAUUGCGCAAUGGACGAAAGUCUGACGCAGCAACGCCGCGUGAGGGAUGACGGCCUUCGGGUUGUAAACCUCUUUCAGCAGGGACGAAGCGAGAGUGACGGUACCUGCAGAAGAAGGACCGGCCAACUACGUGCCAGCCGCCGCCGUAACAC